ACGAGAUCUGAUGGGUUUAUCCGGUGUUUCUGCUUUUGCUUCCUCCUCAUUUUUCUCUUGCUGCCACCACGUGAGAAGUGCCUUUCGCCUCCCGCCAUGAUUCUGAGGCCUCCCUAGCCAUGGGGACCUGUAAGUCCAAUGAAACCUCUUUUUGUUCCCCGUUUUGGGUAUGUCUUUAUCAGCAGCGUGAAAACGGACUAAUACACCCUCUCCCUACCAGCGGGUGUAGUCUGAUGAGGUCUAUGCGGCAGCGUUGGGUGGCAGCCAUGGAGGAAUGCUGUUGAAAUGUCCCUUCUGUCCUCAGGGGCCUUCAGAAGCCACCUGGUCAGUGUCCGAGCAUGGCCAAGGUGCAGGGUGGCUGCUGGGACUCCAUGCAAGGCUCCUCUAUGGGCAACCUCUGCGGCAGCAUUUCCUGCUUGGCUGCCCAAGGAUUCCCAGUGCUUCCUGCAGUCAGGCACUUCCUGCCCGGUUCUCCCUCCUUCCCAUCCUCCUUUCCCAGGGACCAGACCUGCAUCGCAUCCUGAAGCUCAGCCUGCCUACUCCUUCUCCAUCUUUUCUUUAUCCUUCACAACUGCAGUCCUCAAUUAAUCUCUGGUGCACUUAACUCUGUCUGCUUCCUGAAGAUGCUCAUAGAUUCUGAGGAUUCCCCAUGUGCUGUGAUGUGAGAGUUAGGGGCGAGGGAGGAAAACAGCCAGCUCCACUACCUGUCUACCCUCCCUCCCGACCAUUGAGAAAGUUCCCUGUUAGAGAUUCAUUCCUUUGGACCAUGAAGCCUUUUGAUUCCUAUUAACCUUGAGUGAGUCACGCUUAAGCCUUUUAAAAAAUUUUCUGAGUUUUUGUUUGUGAAAUAUAACAUAUAUACCAAUGAACAUGAGAUAUAUAAAUGCGUUGUAUGAAUAAUUAGAAAGCAAACUAUAUUCCAGCAAGCGAAAACAUAACACACUGCCCCAGAAGCACCCACAAUCCACGAGUAAGCACCUCCCUCCCCCUGAGGUGCAUAAGUAAGGAGAGGAGGGGCAGAGGAGCUGCCAGGGGAAGGACCAAGGAUGUGCUCUAUAGGUCAGCCCCCUGGCUCUGCCUCUCCUUGUUGGCAGAGAUCAGCCUGAGGGCCGCGCCGCACACCACAGGCCCAUGACCCUCCAUCGGAGUCACCGGGCGCUGGCUGAACAAGCACCUUCAGUGAGCUCUGGAUUACAACACAGCUAUGAAAAGAAGCCAGCCGGUGCUCUCCCUACCCAUAUGGAGAGAUUGCCAGGCAGAUUCCAAAGUGGAAAAGUCAGAGGCAAUACAGGAGGGCCUGUGUGCCCAGCUCCCACUGUGAAAACCAACCCAGCUGAUGGGGAUUCUUCUCUAUUGCUUUGUAGGUCGUCGCUGCCCUCAGCCUCCAGAUGCAGCCCCCCUGCCACCUUCAGGACCCCUGGCUCUCCCCUGGACUCAGUAGCGAAAGGGUUUAUGUGCUCGGAGGGAGACCUUCAGGAAUCUGUGCAUAGAAUGCCAUAGUGCAGAGGAAAGUAAGACUAUGCAGUUGUAUUUGACUUAAAACCUCCGGAAAGAUAAAUAGGGAAGCAACAAAACCUACAGGGAACAGGGGAGGAAGAGGGAUGGGGCUGCAAGCCAGGGGAUGCCUGCAGCCACCAGGAGAUGGGGGGAGGCAGGGAGGAUCCUUUCCCAGAGCCUCUGGAAGGAGUAUGGCCCUGCCUACACCUUGAUUUGGAUUUCUGGCCUCUGAAACUGUGAGAGAACAACUGUCUGCUGUGGAAAGUAACCUAGGUUUGUGGGAAUUCGUUACAGCAGCCCCAGAAAAUGGAACAGCUGCUAAGUGAGACUCCUCAGCCAGGCCAGAGAAUGUGCAUUCUGACGGACUGCUUCUCAUUUGCACUGAUCACUGUGAGUGUCUGAUGGGUGGGCAUCCGGCGCCCAGAGAAGGAGUUGCUCUAUUAUCCUGGCACUCCAUAAAGAACAGGUAGAAAUAAGCGCUUCUUACCAAGAUGAAAUCCACCCAUCAUUUCUGAAUGGCUCAGUUUUGAUUUCAUCUCCCAAGCUUGCUGCCACCACGUGAGAAGUGCCUUUCGCCUCCCGCCAUGAUUCUGAGGCCUCCCUAGCCAUGGGGACCUGUAAGUCCAAUGAAACCUCUUUUUGUUCCCCGUUUUGGGUAUGUCUUUAUCAGCAGCGUGAAAACGGACUAAUACACCCUCUCCCUACCAGCGGGUGUAGUCUGAUGAGGUCUAUGCGGCAGCGUUGGGUGGCAGCCAUGGAGGAAUGCUGUUGAAAUGUCCCUUCUGUCCUCAGGGGCCUUCAGAAGCCACCUGGUCAGUGUCCGAGCAUGGCCAAGGUGCAGGGUGGCUGCUGGGACUCCAUGCAAGGCUCCUCUAUGGGCAACCUCUGCGGCAGCAUUUCCUGCUUGGCUGCCCAAGGAUUCCCAGUGCUUCCUGCAGUCAGGCACUUCCUGCCCGGUUCUCCCUCCUUCCCAUCCUCCUUUCCCAGGGACCAGACCUGCAUCGCAUCCUGAAGCUCAGCCUGCCUACUCCUUCUCCAUCUUUUCUUUAUCCUUCACAACUGCAGUCCUCAAUUAAUCUCUGGUGCACUUAACUCUGUCUGCUUCCUGAAGAUGCUCAUAGAUUCUGAGGAUUCCCCAUGUGCUGUGAUGUGAGAGUUAGGGGCGAGGGAGGAAAACAGCCAGCUCCACUACCUGUCUACCCUCCCUCCCGACCAUUGAGAAAGUUCCCUGUUAGAGAUUCAUUCCUUUGGACCAUGAAGCCUUUUGAUUCCUAUUAACCUUGAGUGAGUCACGCUUAAGCCUUUUAAAAAAUUUUCUGAGUUUUUGUUUGUGAAAUAUAACAUAUAUACCAAUGAACAUGAGAUAUAUAAAUGCGUUGUAUGAAUAAUUAGAAAGCAAACUAUAUUCCAGCAAGCGAAAACAUAACACACUGCCCCAGAAGCACCCACAAUCCACGAGUAAGCACCUCCCUCCCCCUGAGGUGCAUAAGUAAGGAGAGGAGGGGCAGAGGAGCUGCCAGGGGAAGGACCAAGGAUGUGCUCUAUAGGUCAGCCCCCUGGCUCUGCCUCUCCUUGUUGGCAGAGAUCAGCCUGAGGGCCGCGCCGCACACCACAGGCCCAUGACCCUCCAUCGGAGUCACCGGGCGCUGGCUGAACAAGCACCUUCAGUGAGCUCUGGAUUACAACACAGCUAUGAAAAGAAGCCAGCCGGUGCUCUCCCUACCCAUAUGGAGAGAUUGCCAGGCAGAUUCCAAAGUGGAAAAGUCAGAGGCAAUACAGGAGGGCCUGUGUGCCCAGCUCCCACUGUGAAAACCAACCCAGCUGAUGGGGAUUCUUCUCUAUUGCUUUGUAGGUCGUCGCUGCCCUCAGCCUCCAGAUGCAGCCCCCCUGCCACCUUCAGGACCCCUGGCUCUCCCCUGGACUCAGUAGCGAAAGGGUUUAUGUGCUCGGAGGGAGACCUUCAGGAAUCUGUGCAUAGAAUGCCAUAGUGCAGAGGAAAGUAAGACUAUGCAGUUGUAUUUGACUUAAAACCUCCGGAAAGAUAAAUAGGGAAGCAACAAAACCUACAGGGAACAGGGGAGGAAGAGGGAUGGGGCUGCAAGCCAGGGGAUGCCUGCAGCCACCAGGAGAUGGGGGGAGGCAGGGAGGAUCCUUUCCCAGAGCCUCUGGAAGGAGUAUGGCCCUGCCUACACCUUGAUUUGGAUUUCUGGCCUCUGAAACUGUGAGAGAACAACUGUCUGCUGUGGAAAGUAACCUAGGUUUGUGGGAAUUCGUUACAGCAGCCCCAGAAAAUGGAACAGCUGCUAAGUGAGACUCCUCAGCCAGGCCAGAGAAUGUGCAUUCUGACGGACUGCUUCUCAUUUGCACUGAUCACUGUGAGUGUCUGAUGGGUGGGCAUCCGGCGCCCAGAGAAGGAGUUGCUCUAUUAUCCUGGCACUCCAUAAAGAACAGGUAGAAAUAAGCGCUUCUUACCAAGAUGAAAUCCACCCAUCAUUUCUGAAUGGCUCAGUUUUGAUUUCAUCUCCCAAGGUCUUCUUUCUGAAACCAGCCCAACUUUUCUCCCAGAGAGUAUCAUGGAACUGAACUUUCAAGAUCAUGGCAUCUGGACAUCGAGAAAACAGAACCCUCAUCUGGCCACCUGCUGCUUUUUGACCAAUUCCCAUAUAAACCGCUAACUUCAGUCAGUUGGAGGGAUGGAUUUGAGAUUUGCCUUCUGUCUCUCAGGUGAUGUCACCAGCAAUAAAGCCUUCUUCCCUGGC
rnacentral:lncRNA from 1 species